rnacentral:rRNA from 1 species
UACGUAGGGUGCGAGCGUUGUCCGGAAUUAUUGGGCGUAAAGAGCUUGUAGGCGGUUUGUCGCGUCUGCCGUGAAAAUCCGGGGCUCAACCCCGGACUUGCGGUGGGUACGGGCAGACUAGAGUGUGGUAGGGGAGACUGGAAUUCCUGGUGUAGCGGUGAAAUGUGCAGAUAUCAGGAGGAACACCGAUGGCGAAGGCAGGUCUCUGGGCCACUACUGACGCUGAGAAGCGAAAGCGUGGGGAGCGAACAGG